rnacentral:rRNA from 1 species
GAUGAACGCUGGCGGCGUGCCUAAUACAUGCAAGUCGAGCGAACAGACGAGGAGCUUGCUCCUCUGACGUUAGCGGCGGACGGGUGAGUAACACGUGAAUAACCUACCUAUAAGACUGGGAUAACUUCGGGAAACCGGAGCUAAUACCGGAUAAUAUAUUGAACCGCAUGGUUCAAUAGUGAAAGACGGUUUUGCUGUCACUUAUAGAUGGAUCCGCGCCGCAUUAGCUAGUUGGUAAGGUAACGGCUUACCAAGGCGACGAUGCGUAGCCGACCUGAGAGGGUGAUCGGCCACACUGGAACUGAGACACGGUCCAGACUCCUACGGGAGGCAGCAGUAGGGAAUCUUCCGCAAUGGGCGAAAGCCUGACGGAGCAACGCCGCGUGAGUGAUGAAGGUCUUCGGAUCGUAAAACUCUGUUAUUAGGGAAGAACAAAUGUGUAAGUAACUAUGCACGUCUUGACGGUACCUAAUCAGAAAGCCACGGCUAACUACGUG